rnacentral:rRNA from 1 species
AGCAGCCGCGGUAAUUCCAGCUCCAAUAGCGUAUAUUAAAGUUGUUGCAGUUAAAAGCUCGUAGUUGAAUUUCGGGGUUAGUAGAUUGGUCAUGCCUCUGGUAUGCACUGGUCUCACUGAUUCCUCCUUCCUGAUGAGCCGUAAUGCCAUUAAUUUGGUGUCGUGGGAAAUCAGGACUGUUACUUUGAAAAAAUUAGAGUGUUUAAAGCAGGCUCACGCUUGAAUACAUUAGCAUGGAAUAAUGAAAUAGGACGUUUGAUUCUAUUUUGUUGGUUUCUAGGAUCGAUGUAAUGAUUAAUAGGGAUAGUUGGGGGCAUUAGUAUUCAAUUGUCAGAGGUGAAAUUCUUGGAUUUAUUGAAGACUAACUACUGCGAAAGCAUUUGCCAAGGAUGUUUUCAUUAAUCAAGAACGAAAGUUAGGGGAUCGAAGACGAUCAGAUACCGUCGUAGUCUUAACCAUAAACUAUGCCGACUAGGGAUCGGAUGAUGUUAAUUUUUUAAUGACUCAUUCGGCGCCUUAC